GGACGCCACGAGGCCACGACUUGGACUUGUCCUCCUCUCCCUCCCUCCCUCCCUCCCUCUCCCUCUCUCCGGCGGGCGACCGCCUCGUGGGGGAUUCCGUUUGCUUCUCUCUUCUCCUUCUCCCUGUCGCGCUGUCGCUUUCCGCCCGGCGGGCCGGUGCGGUGCGGUGCUUUAUAAGUGACGUGAGGAGCAAGUGAGGGAGGCAUCCAAUUCAAUUCAAUCCAAAGCGACGGCGGGGCGGCGGGAGUUGGGGAAAGGCUAAAGGAGUGGCUUAGAGUUUGAGGGAAUUUCUUUCUUUUGUUUGUUUGGAUUCGCUGCUCGGAGACGGCCAUGGAGCGGGUUGGGCAGUUCCUGAGGCAGAGCAAUGGUUUGAUGGCGGCGUCGUUGUCGGCGAGGACGUGCGCGGAAGAGGUGGCGAAGGCGGAGGGGGCCGGGUGCCGGGACGACGCGGCGGCGAUGAGGCUGAAGGGGCUGGCCAUAGCGACGAUACUGGUGGCGGGGGUGUUCGGGGUGGGGCUGCCGCUGGUGGGGCGGAAGCGCCGGGCGCUGCGGACGGACAGCGCCGUGUUCGUGGCGGCGAAGGCGUUCGCCGCAGGGGUGAUCCUCGCCACGGGGUUCGUCCACAUGCUGCACGACGCCGAGCACGCGCUGUCCAACCCCUGCCUCCCCGCGGAGCCAUGGAGGAGCUUCCCUUUCCCGGGGUUCGUCGCCAUGGCCGCCGCGCUCGCCACGCUCGUGCUCGACUUCCUCGCCACCAGGUUCUACGAGGGCAAGCACAAGGCCGAGACCGCCCGCGUCAAGGCCGACGCCGCCGCCGCGCUCGCCGCGUCAUCGGCUAGCGACGACGACAUCACCGUGGUCACCGUCACCGAGGACGACAACAAGGCGCCGCUCCUGCAAGCCCAUUCCCACUCCCACUCCCACUCCCAUGUCCACUCCCACGGCCAUUCCCAUGGUCACUCUCACGGCCACUCCCAUGGACACGGCCACGAGCUGGUCCAAGCGGAGGGCGGCGGCGAGGGGGAGGUGCCGGCGCACGUGCGGUCCAUCGUGGUGUCACAGAUACUUGAGAUGGGGAUUGUGUCGCAUUCGGUGAUCAUCGGAUUGUCGCUCGGGGUGUCACGGAGCCCCUGCACGAUCAGGCCGCUUGUCGCGGCGCUCUCAUUCCACCAGUUCUUUGAGGGGUUCGCACUUGGCGGGUGCAUUGCUCAGGCACAAUUGAAGACCCUAUCAGCAGCUAUGAUGGCAUGCUUCUUUGCCAUCACAACACCAGCUGGGAUCGCGGCUGGUGCUGGCGUCGCUUCAUUCUACAACGCCAACAGCCCAAGGGCUCUAGUUGUGGAGGGCAUCCUCGACUCCGUGUCGGCUGGCAUCCUUAUAUACAUGUCUCUGGUGGAUCUCAUCGCCGCGGACUUCCUGGGCGGGAAGAUGACAGGGUCGCUGCGGCAGCAGGUGACGGCUUACGUCGCCUUGUUCCUCGGCGCACUCUCCAUGUCAUCACUUGCAAUCUGGGCUUGAAAAACCUGAGAGGCCAUCGGUCUGAAGACAGUUGUUAUGCAUACAGAGAGUAGUAGCAGCUCGGCUCCGGCUCAGCGACAUAACAUGCCCUGCAUUUCAUGGGCGUGAGGCUAGUCUGACGCUGAUAGAAAACCAGGGGCAUCGUAUUGUACACGUAUGUAUAGCGUUGCUUGUAGCUACUACUGGCCCCAACCGUAGGAUCACCUCAGCAAGUGUUGCUAAUGUGACAACCGCGAGGUGGUGAUAGCCAGAGUGUUGGUAUGAGUAUAUGGUUCUGUUCAUUUUUUUUUUAAUGAAGGUUGAAUCUUUUUGAUAAACUUACUCCAGAUUCAUCUGCUGAUUUUGUGCAUAACCACAGUUUGAUAUGGGUAUGAUCCUGACAUCCUGUGAUAUACCUUGCCGUACACCUCCAUGCAUGCCAUUCUGUAUGUAGUCCGUACAAGUUUGGUACGUCUGAUGGGCAGAAUCGGAGUCGGUGUGCAAUCUGAAUACUCCCUGGUGCUAAUUAAAGUAACAGCUUACUCAGCCGGCGUGAUUAGUUUAAUGCUCAAUGAGCAUAAGCCGUGCCGGUUAUCCAGAGCUUGGGAUAAACUAAUCUUCAUCGAAGCGGCACGUCAUCUGAGUUGACAAAACCGAUGGCGUUUGGGGCCAAACACGUACUAGUGGCUUGUAAGCAUGGAAGACGUCCAGUGAAGACAAAAUGGAAAGAAGAGAGACACACGUCGAAGGUGAGGUGACGAACCGAAUACGGCUACCGGGAAUCGAUCCAUCCAGCGGCAGCAGAAUACUAGCAGCAGUUAGUUGCACGUCAUCGCUGUCACAGCCUUGUUUUGUUCGAGCCGAACCCGUCAGGUAUGUCCAUGUACGCAAGGUCGGUUUCCGUAGAAAUGGCCAGGACACAACCGGUGCUUCGGUCCUUUUCGAAAUUGCCAAAACAAACCAUAUGACCCAGGAGGGACCAAGGAUAACGAAAGUUCCUAGACAGCCAAAGACACAUAAAGGAAUUGGUUUAUAACAAGAACGAAGAAUUGUUGGAGUUUAUGUAAAAUAUAUAUGCAAAGAGUUUAUGUAAAAUAUAUAUGCAAAGUCGUGUCCAUACCAGACAGCUCUGGUACACGAGCAUUCAACUAUUCAAGUAUCCCUAUAGCCUGCAA